AUGGAUCCAAGUGGCAUCGGUAAAACGAACUUAAAUCAAAAGGACAGUGAUUUGACGCGACAUACGGAUAUCUGCUGCUAUAAAUUUUUUGUGGAUAUAAACAAAGACAGCGAUUGCUGCAAGUGGAACUAAAUGAAAUUAAUUAGUGUGUUUGGGAUAAAAUUGUGGAAAUUUGUAUAAUAGGAUAGAACCUGCUAAUAGGCGACAAGACAUACUGCGUUUAUUUGAAUUUUUUUGUAUAUAUAUAUAUAUCGGCGAUGUUUUCUCUCUAUUUUGUGAUGUGAGCGAACAUUCUUUGGUUGGAAAUAUAUAUACCAUUUUAAUAUGAAUACUACGUAAAAAAUUAAAAUCCAAACAACAUAUAAAGAUCGUCUUGAUACUAACUGAAAUAAAUAUUAAAGUGUGUUCUAUAUAUUCUUCGACAAUUUGAAAAUCGUAAGUAAAUUGCA